AGAGUUUGAUCCUGGCUCAGGAUGAACGCUAGCGGCAGGCUUAACACAUGCAAGUCGAGGGGCAGCGCGGGGCGGCAACGUCCUGGCGGCGACCGGCGGAAGGGUGCGUAACGCGUGAGCGACAUGCCCGUUGCCCGGGGACAACCGGUGGAAACGCCGACUAAUCCCCGAUGGGACGGAGGCCCUCAUGGGUCUCUGUUGAAAGUUACGGCGGCGACGGAUUGGCUCGCGUCCGAUUAGCUUGUUGGCGGGGUAACGGCCCACCAAGGCUACGAUCGGUAGGGGUUCUGAGAGGAAGGUCCCCCACAAUGGAACUGAGACACGGUCCAUACUCCUACGGGAGGCAGCAGUGAGGAAUAUUGGUCAAUGGGCGGAAGCCUGAACCAGCCAUGCCGCGUGCGGGAAGGGGGCCCUAUGGGCUGUGAACCGCUUUUGCCUGGGGGCAAUAAGGGCGUCGCGCACGUCCGAUGAGAGUACCAGGGGAAUAAGCAUCGGCUAACUCCGUGCCAGCAGCCGCGGUAAUACGGGGGAUGCGAGCGUUAUCCGGAUUCAUUGGGUUUAAAGGGUGCGUAGGCUGUGCGUCAAGUCAGGGGUGAAAUUCCGGGGCUCAACUCCGGGGCUGCCCUUGAUACUGUCGCGCUGGAGUGCGGAUGCCGCCGGAGGAAUGAGUGGUGUAGCGGUGAAAUGCUUAGAUAUCACUCAGAACACCGAUUGCGAAGGCAUCUGGCGAAUCCGUAACUGACGCUGAGGCACGAAAGCGUGGGGAUAGAACAGGAUUAGAUACCCUGGUAUUCCACGCCGUAAACGAUGAUGGCUAACCGCCGGCGACACACUGUCGGUGGCCAAGCGAAAGCGAUAAGCCAUCCACCUGGGGAGUACGUCGGCAACGAUGAAACUCAAAGGAAUUGACGGGGGCCCGCACAAGCGGAGGAACAUGUG
rnacentral:rRNA from 1 species